rnacentral:rRNA from 4 species
AGCAACAAAUGCCCUGCUUCCAGGAAAAGCCUCUAAGCAUCAGGUAACAUCAAAUCGUACCCCAAACCGACACAGGUGGUCAGGUAGAGAAUACCAAGGCGCUUGAGAGAACUCGGGUGAAGGAACUAGGCAAAAUGGUGCCGUAACUUCGGGAGAAGGCACGCUGACACGUAGGUGAAGUGAUUUACUCAUGGAGCUGAAGUCAGUCGAAGAUACCAGCUGGCUGCAACUGUUUAUUAAAAACACAGCACUGUGCAAACACGAAAGUGGACGUAUACGGUGUGACGCCUGCCCGGUGCCGGAAGGUUAAUUGAUGGGGUCAGCGCAAGCGAAGCUCCUGAUCGAAGCCCCGGUAAACGGCGGCCGUAACUAUAACGGUCCUAAGGUAGCGAAAUUCCUUGUCGGGUAAGUUCCGACCUGCACGAAUGGCGUAAUGAUGGCCAGGCUGUCUCCACCCGAGACUCAGUGAAAUUGAACUCGCUGUGAAGAUGCAGUGUACCCGCGGCAAGACGGAAAGACCCCGUGAACCUUUACUAUAGCUUGACACUGAACAUUGAGCCUUGAUGUGUAGGAUAGGUGGGAGGCUUUGAAGUGUGGACGCCAGUCUGCAUGGAGCCGACCUUGAAAUACCACCCUUUAAUGUUUGAUGUUCUAACGUGGACCCGUAAUCCGGGUUGCGGACAGUGUCUGGUGGGUAGUUUGACUGGGGCGGUCUCCUCCUAAAGAGUAACGGAGGAGCACGAAGGUUGGCUAAUCCUGGUCGGACAUCAGGAGGUUAGUGCAAUGGCAUAAGCCAGCUUGACUGCGAGCGUGACGGCGCGAGCAGGUGCGAAAGCAGGUCAUAGUGAUCCGGUGGUUCUGAAUGGAAGGGCCAUCGCUCAACGGAUAAAAGGUACUCCGGGGAUAACAGGCUGAUACCGCCCAAGAGUUCAUAUCGACGGCGGUGUUUGGCACCUCGAUGUCGGCUCAUCACAUCCUGGGGCUGAAGUAGGUCCCAAGGGUAUGGCUGUUCGCCAUUUAAAGUGGUACGCGAGCUGGGUUUAGAACGUCGUGAGACAGUUCGGUCCCUAUCUGCCGUGGGCGCUGGAGAACUGAGGGGGGCUGCUCCUAGUACGAGAGGACCGGAGUGGACGCAUCACUGGUGUUCGGGUUGUCAUGCCAAUGGCACUGCCCGGUAGCUAAAUGCGGAAGAGAUAAGUGCUGAAAGCAUCUAAGCACGAAACUUGCCCCGAGAUGAGUUCUCCCUGAGACUUAGAGUCUCCUGAAGGAACGUUGAAGACGACGACGUUGAUAGGCCGGGUGUGUAAGCGCAGCGAUGCGUUGAGCUAACCGGUACUAAUGAACCGUGAGGCUUAACCUU